UAAGAAAUUUCAUGGCCACUCCUCUGCAGAAAACAAAAAGAGAGGGUGAUUGGACAGAAAGCUCUGAGGCAUCUCACAGUAAAAAAAAAAAAAGAAAGAAAGAAAAAAAGAAAAAAGAAAAGAAAUAAAAGUGACUAGCAGGAGUGGGAGUGGGUGACACAGAGUAACUUUGAAAGAAAGCAGAUCCGUGAAUGUCUGAAGGUUAAAGAAAGACUCUAGGACUAUGGGGAAUGUAGGGGAAAAGAAGAAUGUUAGAGAAAAUGAGCAUAACCAAGAAAGAAAGAUCUUUUUUUUUUUUUUUUUGAAACGGAGUCUCGCUCUGUCGCCCAGGAAAGCAUCUUAAUAGUAUUCCAAGGGUGUUGGUGUUUCUCAAGACAGCUGAGAUUUCCUCCCAUCUCCCAUCUAAUGGAUUCACACUCGCUUCACUCACCUGGGCAGCUCUGACGUGGCCUCUCACCCUGCAGUGCCCAUGGUUCCUUUCCUUGCUCCAACAUGACCACCUCUGCUUCAGGAACUUGAUAUCCUGUUCAUGGGAAAUGAUAAAGGUCUGGGUCCAGCUAAUUGUGUUUCAGGGCCCAACCAAUAAUCUCUUAUUCUUUGAUGAGGAAUUUUUCUUCAGAAAAGUAACCAUAACUUUUCAGGGUAAUAUUCUGAGUGCCCUAAACAAAUAAAGAAUCCUAGACAAAUCAAGAACAAAAUCAUCACCU
rnacentral:lncRNA from 1 species